UACAGAGGUCCCAAGCGUUGUUCGGAUUCAUUGGGCGUAAAGGGUGUGUAGGUGGCGCCGUAAGUCGGGUGUGAAAUCUCGGGGCCUAACUCCGAAACUGCAUUCGAUACUGCGGUGCUUGAGGACUGGAGAGGAGACUGGAAUUCAUGGUGUAGCAGUGAAAUGCGUAGAGAUCAUGAGGAAGACCAGUGGCGAAGGCGGGUCUCUGGACAGUUCCUGACACUGAGACACGAAGGCCAGGGGAGCAAACGGG
rnacentral:rRNA from 1 species